AUUGAACGCUGGCGGCAGGCCUAACACAUGCAAGUCGAACGAGUGGCGGACGGGUGAGUAAUGUCUGGGAAACUGCCUGAUGGAGGGGGAUAACUACUGGAAACGAUAGCUAAUACCGCAUACCAUCGGAUGUGCCCAGAUGUGAGUAGCGAGUAGGUGGGGUAAAGGCUCACCUAGGCGCCGAUCCCUAGCUGGUCUGAGAGGAUGACCAGCCACCCUGGAACUGAGACACGUUCCAGACUCCUACGUGAGGCAGCAGUGGGGAAUAUUGCACAAGGGGGGCAAGCCUGAUGCAGCCAUGCCGCGUGUAUGAAGAAGGCCUUCGGGUUGUAAAGUACUGUCAGCGGGGAGGCGUUACCCGCAGAAGAAGCACCGGCUAACUCCGUGCCAGCAGCCGCGGUAAUUC
rnacentral:rRNA from 1 species